AUGUUCAAGAAGAAUGUUGAUGCAAAAGCUCUACAACGUUUGUCAGGUGCUGACAAAAAGAAGCUGAGAAGAACCGCCAAGCAAAGGUUUCCGCAAGCAUCUGAUGAUGAUCUAGAUGCCAUUCUUCCUCCAAAGGUUGAGAUAACAGUCGCUAAGUACCCAAGCCGGACUCUUGUUUAUGGCAUAGAGGGCGAACUGCCAAUGCUAUUCGACAUUGAUGGAAGAGGCCAUGAGCUGUUUCCAACAGUUUAUGCACUCUGGAAGGUUCCUUAUCUGUUGCCAGCUUUUACACUUAAGGGUGGUGAAGUUUCACACUUCAUUCUUGGUGGCGCCGAUCUUAUGUUUCCUGGUAUCAGCGUACCUCCAGAAGGAUUACCUUCUUUCCAAGCUGGCCAGCCAUGGUCAGUUAAAGUCCCUGGUAACCCUGCUCCAAUUGCUGUUGGGACCACAACUAUGAGCAAUACUGAAGCACUAAAGGCAGGAUUACGUGGCAAGGCUUUGCGGAUUGCACAUUACUAUAAAGAUUUGUUAUGGGCUUCUGCUGAUGGUCGUUAUGUUCCAAAUGAAGGAUUUUAUGAUGACAUGGUUAUUGAAGAUCCUAAUUUUGCUUCCGCUUCUCAACAUAUUGACUCUUCCGAAGAUCCUUCAGAAGGAAAGCAAGACAAAGCAGCUGUUGAUGUCUCGGAGUGUCUUACUGAAGAUCAUGCCAUUAACAGUGAAACCAUAGAGAAUGUAACAGCUGGCGUGAGCGAGCUAAAUUUGCCUCAGGAGAAAACCACCGAGGAACAGACCGAGGAGAAGGAACAUCAACAUUUGUCUACUGAAGAAAUUGACUCUCUCUUGGACAUAUGCCUUCUGCAAGCAUUACACACGAACGUAAAAGACAAAGACCUCCCCAUGCCAGGAAGUAUAUUGUGGUCAAAUCACAUUCUCCCAUGCAGACCUCCAGGUGUUACCCUUGAUAUUAAGAAGUCAUCACAUAAAAAACUAUCCAAGUGGUUGCAGUCAAAAUCUUCUUCUGGCCUUAUCUCAGUGAAAGAGGACAAGCAUAAAAAGGAAGUCAUGUUGAUAGGUAUCAGUCGCAAACAUCCAGACUACACGGCCUUCAAACAUCAUAAGAGGGUACAGGAGGCAGUUGAACAGCAUGAUAACAUUGUUGCCGAUGGCAGCAGUGCAAAGCAACUGGAAGUGGAUGAAAUUUAUAAGCCAAGUUCGCAUGUCAACCCCAUAUUUUUGGCUGUUGACGCUGACACAGGGAAGUAUUACAGUGCAUCAGAGGCGUUUGAUGUGGUUUUCAGGUAUGUGGAGAAGGAAAAUUUGGUCAAGCAAACAGACAAGGCCAAAGUAAUUCUGGGCGCUACAUUAUGUGAUGCUCUGUACAAAGGGGCUGUGAAGAAGGGUUCAGCAUACCCAAGUGAGAUCCACAAGAAGGAUUUAGGGUCAACAUUUGUUAACCGUAUGCAAAUUCAUCAUAGAGUAGCUAGAGGAAAUGAGGUGGUCAUUCGCAAGGGCGCCAUACGCACUGUUCAAAUCAUGACAGAAAGAAGGCAAGGGAACAAGAAGAUGACCCGAGUCUCUGGAUUGGAAUGCUUUUUGCUGGAUGCUGACUCCUUGGCUUCUGAACUACAAAAGAAAUUUGCUUGCAGCACCACCACAGCUGAGCUUCCAGGUAAAAAGGGGCAACAUGAGGUCUUGAUUCAAGGCGGAGUCAUUGAAAACCUGGCAAAGCACCUCGUUGACCAUCACGGUGUUCCGAAGAGAUAUAUUGAGGUUUAUGACAAAACAAAGAAGUAG
rnacentral:rRNA from 1 species